UGGGGAAUAUUGGACAAUGGGCGCAAGCCUGAUCCAGUAAUGCCGCGUGAGUGAUGAAGGCCUUCGGGUUGUAAAGCUCUUUCGCACGCGACGAUGAUGACGGUAGCGUGAGAAGAAGCCCCGGCUAACUUCGUGCCAGCAGCCGCGGUAAUACGAAGGGGGCUAGCGUUGUUCGGAAUUACUGGGCGUAAAGGGCGCGUAGGCGGUGUGUCAAGUCAGGCGUGAAAGCCCCGGGCUCAACCUGGGAACCGCGCUUGAGACUGGCACGCUAGAGUUCGGGAGAGGAUGGUGGAAUUCCCAGUGUAGAGGUGAAAAUUCGUAGAUAUUGGGAAGAACACCGAUGGCGAAGGCAGCCAUCUGGACCGACACUGACGCUGAGGCGCGAGAGCGUGGGGAGCAAAACAGGAUUAGAUACCCUGGUAGUCCACGCCGUAAAACGAUGAGUGCUAGACGUUGGGGCCCUCAGGGCUUCGGUGUCGCAGCUAAAC
rnacentral:rRNA from 1 species